rnacentral:piRNA from 1 species
UGCAUCUGUCCCCUGCGUUAGCUAGUG